ACUCCUACGGGAGGCAGCAGUGGGGAAUUUUGGACAAUGGGCGCAAGCCUGAUCCAGCCAUGCCGCGUGAGUGAAGAAGGCCUUCGGGUUGUAAAGCUCUUUCAGUCGGGAAGAAACGGGGCUCUCUAACAUAGGGUCUUAAUGACGGUACCGACAGAAGAAGCACCGGCUAACUACGUGCCAGCAGCCGCGGUAAUACGUAGGGUGCGAGCGUUAAUCGGAAUUACUGGGCGUAAAGCGUGCGCAGGCGGUUCGCUAAGACAGGUGUGAAAUCCCCGGGCUCAACCUGGGAAUGGCGCUUGUGACUGGCGGGCUGGAGUACGGCAGAGGGGGGUGGAAUUCCACGUGUAGCAGUGAAAUGCGUAGAGAUGUGGAGGAACACCGAUGGCGAAGGCAGCCCCCUGGGCCGAUACUGACGCUCAUGCACGAAAGCGUGGGGAGCAAACAGGAUUAGAUACCCUGGUAGUC
rnacentral:rRNA from 1 species